CCUGGUGGCUCAGAUGGUUAAGAAUCUGCCUGCAAUGCAGAAGACCAGGGUUCAAUCCCUGGGUCAGGA
rnacentral:tRNA from 1 species